GAUGAACGUUGGCGGUGUGCCUAAUACAUGCAAGUCGAACGGUGAUGAUUUUGUAGCAAUACGACUGAAAUCAUAGUGGCGAACGGGUGAGUAACGCGUUGGUGAUCUGCCUCGAAGUGUGGAAUAACGUCCCGAAAGGGACGCUAAUACCGCAUGUGCUUUCAAUAUUUAGAAAGUUGAAAGUAAAGGAUUUAUUCGCUUCGAGAGGAGCCUGCGUCCCAUCAGCUAGUUGGUAGGGUAAAAGCCUACCAAGGCAAUGACGGGUAGGGGACCUGAGAGGGUGGCCCCCCAAAUGGAACUGAAACACGGUCCAUACACCUACGGGUGGCAGCAGUAGGGAAUAUUAGAAAUGGACGAAAGUCUGAUCUAGCGACACCGCGUGUGCGAUGAAGGCCUUGGGUUGUAAAGCUCUGUCAGGAGGGACGAAGCCACUCGGGUGAACAGCCCAGAGGGUGACGGUACCUCCACAGGAACGCCCCGGUAACUACGUGCCAGCAGCCGCGGUAAACU
rnacentral:rRNA from 1 species